rnacentral:pre_miRNA from 2 species
AGCUGUUGGAUUCGGGGCCGUAGCACUGUCUGAGAGGUUUACAUUUCUCACAGUGAACCGGUCUCUUUUUCAGCUGCUUC